AUUCUCCUCUCCGGCUCCCUACUCUCCCCUUCACCGUCUCCCUCCUCUCUCCCAUCCCCUAUUCUCCUCCUCCCUCCUCUCUCCCCCCCUCUCCCCCUCCCUCCUCUCUCCCCCUCCCUCCUCUCUCCCCCUCCCUCCUCUCUCCCCCUCCCUCCUCUCUCCCCCUCCCUCCUCUCUCCUGAAGUUACCCAGGUGUCUCUGGCACAUGUCCACCCCCAAGCCCCCAUCCAGGCCAUUCCUGCAGGAGAUCCUUCUCCCAUGGGGCUCCACCCCCCAACCCCAGCCCAGUCGGCUUCCAGGAUCCUAGGAAGCACAGAGCCAGGAAACCACUGCCCUGGGGGGCCUCCCAGAGAGCUGCACUGCAGGGUCUGGCUGGGAAGGGCCCUGCAACCCCGCCUGUGUGUGGGGGGAGGUAAAUGCACUUCCAGAGAAAGGGAAGAAGGGGGCGAGCCACAUCCCCUCCCUGGCGACCUGGCUGUCCUUUCUCAGGCCUGCCGGCCCUUCUGUGGAUGGGGACUCUGGGCCCAGUCUGGGAUCCCAGAAGCAGCUGUGGGGAGCAGGACUUACCCCACUGUGCCAGUCGUCCACAGCCCUGGGGGGAUCUGAGUCUCCAGGUGUGGGAAGGGAGAGGGUGGGAGAAGGGAGAGAGUGGGAGGAGGGAGAGAAUGGGAGGAGGGGAGAGGGGGUGGGAGGAGGGAGAGGGUGGGAGGAGGGAGAGGAAGAAGGAUGGAGGAGAGGGCCUUGAAUGUGCAGUGUCCCUGGCAGGGCCUCUCUGACUCCUGCGGGUGGACCCGAGCCUCCUCUUCCAGCAGGACCUGGCUAAGAGGGGAUGAGGAUGGAGCAUGAGGGAAAGUUGCAGAGGAGACUCAGUGCUGCUGGUGGCUGGUGGGAGCCCCAGGGCUGCUGGCCCAGGCCCCGCUUCUGUCCUUCCCCUUUUGGACCAACCGUACCCCCUCCCCUGUUGUGGGAAGUCAGGGACCCCAAAUGGAGGGACCGGCUGAAGCCACGGCAGAAGAACGUGGAUUGUGAAGAUUUUAUGGACACUUAUUAGUUCCUCAAGUUAAUACUUUUAUAAUUUCUUAUGCCUGUCUUUACUGCAAUCUCUAAACAUAAAUUGUAAAGAUUUCAUGGACACUUAUCACUUCCCCAGUCAAUACCCUUGUGAUUUCCUAUGCCUGUCUUUACUUUAAUCUCUUAAUCCUGUCAGCUGAGGAGGAUGUAUAUUGCCUCAGGACCCUGUAAUAAUUGUGUUAACUACAAAAAUUGUACAGCAUGUGUGUUUGAGCAAUAUGAAAUCUGAGCACCUUGAAAAAAGAACAGGAUAACAGCAAUUGUUCAGGGAAUAAGAGAGAUAACCUUAAACUCUAACCGCAGGUGAGUCAGGCAGAACAGAGCCAUAUUUCUCUUCUUUCAAAAGCAAAUGGGAGAAAUAUCGCUGAAUUCUUUUUCUCAGCAUGGGAUAUCCCUGAGAAAGAGAAUACGCACCUGGAGGUAUUGGCUUAUAAACAGCCCCCCCAGGUGGGCCUGUCUCUUAUGGUUGAGGCUGCAGAGAUGAAAUAAACUCCAGUCUCCCAUAGCGCUCCCAGGCUUAUUAGGAAGAGGAAAUUCCCACCUAAUAAAUUUUGGUCAGACCGGUUGAUGUCAAAACCCUGUCUCCUGAUAAGAUGUUAUCAGUGACAGUGGUGCCCAAAACUUCAUUAGCAAUUUUAAUUUUGCUUCGGUCCUGUGGUCCUGUGAUCUCGCCCUGCCUCCACUGGCCUUGUGAUAUUCUAUUACCCUGUUAAGUACUUGCUGUCUGUCACCCACACCUAUUCACACACUCCCUCCCCUUUUGAAACUCCCUAAUAAAAACUUGCUGGUUUUUGCGGCUUGUGGGGCAUCACAGAUCCUACCAACGUGUGAUGUCUCCCCCGGAUGCCCAGCUUUAAAAUUUCUCUCUUUUGUACUCUGUCCCUUUAUUUCUCAAGCCGGCCGACGCUUAGGAAAAAUAGAAAAGAACCUACGUGAUUAUCAGGGCAGGUCCCCCGAUACUUCCCCACCCACACCCACACGGAACUCCCAACCCCAGCCCCAAGGCAGGGUCCCACUUCCCCCUUUAAAAAUCUUUUUCCUCCCAGGUCUCUCAGCCACCCCCUCUCCUAUCACCACGGCCGGCCAAGCUCUGCGCCACGCGUCAGUCGCCUCCCUGCCCUACCCAGGGCACCCGAGAUGUGGAGGACCUGCCCUCCAUGGGCUCCAAAAACCCAGGCCCCAGCUGGGGAAAUUUUCUAGACAAGGAGGCCUCGAGACCCA
rnacentral:lncRNA from 1 species